CUUUCACCCUUUUGCAAAACCAUGUUUUGGGCCCUCUUUUAAAUUUCCAGCCCACCUCACAAUUCCUGGAAAUUUUUCAAGCCCAGCACUUCAACCCGAAACUCCAAACAAUUUACCCGGCCCACGCUCCUUUAAUCUGACCCGUCAUGUUCCUUCUUCAUCUUCUCCAUGCGUGAAUGAGAAGCGAUCAACUCAGGAACCAGCGUGUACAACCCCAACCUGAUCCCAUUCGUCUUCUUCCACGCCCGGAAGAACGAAGCUCAGAAAAACGUCAAGCGCGUGAGUGGCAGAGAGCGAGUGCGACGAGAAAGCGAUGAGGAACAGACUGGACUUUGUCUUCUUCCUCAAUGUUCUUCUUAGUUUGUACGAUGGCAGAACAUGAGAAAUCAUCCUCAUACCAUGAUAUGAAGCCACGUCGUUUCGUCAAAGACAGCGGAAUCAAUCCGGAGCGUCGACUUUCCCUUUCUCCUUUUGGAAUGGGUCAGGAGCCUCCGAAAAAGUUUGUUCAGCCGUUUUUGUUAAAGAUUUUGGAGAGUUUUUUUUGAAUUUUCGGAAUGAAAAUUGGACUCCCCCCCCCCCACCCCCCCAUUUUUCCCACCCCUAAUCUGCCCCUAUAUAAUAUCUUUUUGGUCAUUUGAAAGGGAGAUUUUUUUUGAGUUUUGGAAAAAAAAUUAGGAUAUAUUUUUUGGGUGAUUCCUCUUCCAGUUAGAGAUUCGUGGAAAGUAGGGAGAGAUUCGAUUUGAAAAUUUGCCGAAGUUAAGAAGGGAUAAAUAUCAUAGUAGAAAAGAAAGGAAGAGAAGAGUUAGUUCCGAUAUUAAAUUGAUUUGGGUUUGAGUUUGCUUCCUAGUUUUCUUGCUUACUACAUGUCCUGUGCUCGCGUGGUGGAACAGUUCGCACCAACUCGUCUAAAUCUCAGUUCGCUGCCCAUAAGAAGUAUUCAAUUAUUAAAUCAUGGGGACCUACAGGUGAGCCAUUAACAUUAAUUAUGCAUUUAAAACUGCUUUGAGUUGGAUAGCUUUACAUUUUGAUAAUUAGUUAAAUCGAUUUAUUUGCUCAUUAUUUUGUAUUAAUUCCUUUUUUUCAUGUUAAAUCUGUCCGAGUUGAACAAGAACUCUCAUCUCUCCCUUUGCAUUUCGGAUGGGCCAUCAAGAUUUAAAUUUCCUUAUCGAGUCAACCCCCUUUAAUACCGAAGAACAGGUUUCAAAGUUGAAGAAGCUGAAGCGAGUUGAAGAGUUAAAGAAGUUGGGAUUAGAAGGCCCGAACUAUUUUUUUCCGAUUUUGAAUUUUUGUUUGUAAUAGGCCUAAGCCCUUGUCGUUUCUUUUUUUCUGUAUUUAUUCGUAUUUAUUAUUGUUUAGUCUAGGACAGGUUGAAAGAAAAGUGGGUCAAAAACCUGGAAGUGAAAUGGGUCAAAACCUAGAACAGGUGGGUCCAAAAUCCGGUCAAGGCGGACAGAUAACACGGAUUUGGACCCAAAUUUCUUUCCCUCCCUCUCUCUCCCUCUUUCCCUCUUUUACUUUACUUGCUUAUAUGUUUCCAUUUGUCAUUAUUUUAAAGUUA